CUGUCACUUUCAAACUCUGAGACGCUGACUUUGGAAAAUUGUUCUGCUGUUGAUGACAUAUCAUGCAUUCGUCGUUCAUAUGUAGAUAGGCAAAAUGCAACCAUUUUAAUGGAAUUUCCAACAGGCGGUGCUAAGAAGUUGCGUAGUUUACUCAUGAAGGAUAUUGAGUUUGAUGGAUCUUGGAAACUGAAAAGCUUGCGUGCCCUACACUUCAUGAGUUCUUAUGAUAUCAAAGAGUUGCCAUCUUCAGUUGGUAAGUUGAAACUUUUGAGAUAUCUCAACAUCUCAUUCACUAAUAUUGAAGUGUUGCCUGAAUUCAUCAGCGAGCUCUACUAUUUGCAAACAUUAAGAUUUCUUAAGUGUCGGUCACUUACAGUAGUUCCUAGAAACAAAAUGUGCAAUCUGAUCAGCUUG
rnacentral:misc_RNA from 1 species